rnacentral:rRNA from 1 species
AGGAUGAACGCUGGCGGCGUGCUUAACACAUGCAAGUCACGGGGGCCCAGCAAUGGGUAACCGGCGAACGGGUGCGUAACACGUGAGCAACCUACCUAAGUGAGGGGGAUAGCCGGGCCAACGCCCGGGUAAUACCGCAUACGCUCGAGGAGAGGCAUUUCAUCUCGAGGAAACCUACGGGGCACUAUGAGGGGCUCGCGGCCUAUCAGCUAGUUGGUGAGGUACGCUCACCAAGGCGACGACGGGUAGCUGGUCUAGGAGAGGAUGGCCAGCCACGAUUGGGACUGAGAUACGGCCCAGACUCCGUACGGGAGCAGCGAGUGGGAAUCGUUGCGUAA